UACGUAGGUGGCAAGCGUUGUCCGGAUUUACUGGGCGUAAAGAGCGCGCAGGCGGUCAUUCAAGUCGAGUGUGAAAGCCCCCGGCUCAACUGGGGAGGGUCACUCGAUACUGUUUGACUCGAAGGCGGGAGAGGGAAGUGGAAUUCCCGGUGUAGUGGUGGAAUGCGCAGAUAUCAGGAGGAACACCGGUGGCGAAGGCGGCCCACUGGUCCGGUACUGACGCUGAGGUGCGAAAGUGUGGGGAUCAAACAGG
rnacentral:rRNA from 1 species